AGAGAGAAUGGUGUAGAGAGCGAGGAAAAGAGUUGUGAAGAGGUAUACCAGAGAAAAACAGAGGAGCUUGGAUUGGAAGAUUAGAGGUUUGGUAGUGGUAAAGCCAUUUUUUAUGUGUUUUGAUGUGAGAAUGCAGACAGUAACUUGUGUCUUUGCUAGCUGCAAGCCUUCCAGGCAAUGCUACUUUCUUCUUGACCUAUGUGGCUCUCAAAUUUUUUUGUUGGCUAUGGUCUUGAGCUGUCCCGGUUAGUUCCUCUUAUUUUAUUCCAUUUGAAGAAAAAGUAUCUUUGCAAGACUGAUGCGGAGGUGAAAGAGGCUUGGGCUCCUAGAGAUCUUGGUUAUAGGACUAGAGUUCCUGGUGACAUGCUCAUCGUCACAAUCGUUUUCUGCUAUUCUGUGAUUGCUCCUCUGAUAGUCCCAUUUGGUGCUCUAUAUUUUGGCCUCAGAUGGCUUAUACUAAGAAAUCAGGUGAAGUUCUCAUGAUUCUAUUUACCCAUCCAGGAUAUUAAUUGAUCUGUGUCAUUUUAAUAGCUUGAAAUCUCAUGAAUGAGUAGUGUCUUUU